CAGAGCUCAUCCCCUCCUGCAGGAAAGCAUUCGUGGGAACUGCUCAGCCACUGCCAAACUUUCUCUUGGUGCAAAACUUCUUCCCUGUUGCUCCUUCGUGUCAGCAUUUAGUUUAUAUUUUGUUCAUCUGAAAAAAAAAAAAAGAAAAAAAAAAAGCAGCGGCCUCCAAACCAUUUCCUCUUUCUGCGAGACGCGCUGCUGAGCCAGGAGACAAACACAGCUUGUGGGGUUUGACAAACUCUGACCGUGCAUCUCCCUCGGGUUGGGUUUAGUGGGGGUGAAAUCCUGCUGCACUGAAAGCCAGAGCAUCGGUGCGGAAGAGGUUGCAUGCCAGGCCGGCGAUGGAGACCCUGCCAAGACAAAUGGCCGUGCUUCCUACAAAGAAAAAGAAUUUCUGAAUUUCUUCGGAGUGGCCAAGCAGAAGAGCCCAUCAUGGGCGUGGGGUUGCACACCCAGAGAGCCCUUUGUUCCAGGCUGCCAAGCAGAUGGAGACCAGUUCUGGCCCCAAGCUCAGGAUGCCCAGGAGUUUCAUGCAUACCCAAGGACAAAGGCUGGCAAGCGAUGAAAGGACUCCUGCACUUGUUUACUGCACCGGCGUCUACACGCAUUACGUCGGAGAGGAUGGAAGCUGCUGUCAUCGGCUGAGAUGGACACAACACUCCUGAGCUCAGCCUUGUCAUAUGAAAGAUGCCCAUGUAAGGAUGGAGCCAGAGAUGAUGGCAGGGAAGAAGCCGUGUCCCUUUUGCCGAGGAGCACCCUGCCCUCCGCAUCCCAUCAGCCACAGCCUUGGCAGAGGGAACUUGUCCUCGGUGCUUUGGGGAUCCCUAAAUCACAUCAGGGCUGACAGGGAGAAUUUGAACGGAUAUCGUCAAAUUUUGCUGUCAUUGUCAAUUAGUCUUUAUAGCUGGUGCCGGCAUUCCCAGCUUCCGGCAAUUCCCUGGCAGCCUGAAGACUUAAUGUCGUCCUUGGCUGAUUGUGGUAGGGAUUGAUUAGCCUGGGUUGGGGUUUUCCAUGGGGGUCUGGCUGUGGGAUUUCAGCUUUGGUGACAGAAAUGGUCAUUUUGUGCUCUCUGUGUGCUAUUUCCACCCUGCUGGAUGGAAAUCUGCCGCGUACCUGUGAGCUGUUGGAGAGGAGUUCUGAUUUUAAGCUUGGUUUUUUUCCUCUUAAAAAUCAGAGCUGCUGCAGGCAGCAGAAGGUAUUAAAGAUUAAUUUUCACGAGCACACAUGAAAUUCAAACCAGCUGGUAUCUGAAGUGCCUCCCUGUGCAAGAUGUCUGUGUUGCAUCUUCCAUUAACUGUUGCGUGGACCAGUGUGAGUAUAGUACUUCUUGGCUGGUGAUGAAGACACAUUUGGCACCCUCUUGCUUUGGGCUGGCAGCAACAUCCAUGGGCACAGCUGAAGAUGCGGGGGACCGAGGCGAUGGGCAGCUGUGCCCCUGGUUUGCAACGCAGUGCUAAAGCAGCGAGGCAGCUUUUUUCCCGCAGCGGAACUUCAAGCACUUUACAGAAGGUUAAAUGUCAGCUCUGGCUUUUACACCCGGGGGAAACGGGUCAUGGAGCAGGACGGGGAUGUCCCAGGGUCAUCUGGCAUCCGAGGGACACCGUUCAGGGCCGGGUCAGUGCUCUGGCCAUUAGCUGCCUCUGAUACAAAAAGGGCAUCCUCCAAGGCAUGGAGGAUGCCUUGGGGGUUAGUUGGGCAGAGAUACUCCUUUCCUGGCUGUAUCAAAGACAUCUGCUCUAAGAGCUCCUGGGAGCUGCUGGUGGAUACCAGUGGCCCCUGGGGACGCAGCGGAGGGGAGGGUUUCCAGGGCUCUGCAAGGCACCAAGCACAGCACUCCGUGCUGCUACCAUCGUGCUGGCUGGCUAGCAGAGGCAAAUAAUCCUCCAGAUUUGGCAGGGCUGUGAGCAAUCCGGGUCCUGCCCAGGGGAUACUGCCACAGAGGUUAUUUGAACUACCUGAGGAUUAUUUGAUUUUAUUUUUGCACUUUCUUUUUUUUUCUAAGCCUAGACUAUGUGGAACUCAGACUAAACAGAAAAUACAGCUAAGAAAACAUCUUGGUAUAAUGCUGGGAGUCAGCCUGUUGCAGCGCGCUUCUGAAAUCCAAUUGUGGUUGUAAGCUGAUCCCAGAAACCAAAAGAUUACAACUCUAAGGCAGUUCACAAAUACCAGAGCAUUAAGGCAGGCAUCUUGGUUACUGAGGCCCAAAUGAUUUUCAGGGUCCGUUUGGGGAAGAGGUGGCACCAGGCGUUCAGCAUCUCCGCGUGCAUUGACGCGUGAGCGAUGCGCACUGGAUGCCGACUCAGCGUCUUGGAAAUGUAGGUAGCGGCUGCUGACUUGGGAAUUUCUUUUGUGUGACCCAUCGCGGUCUGUGCAGCCUGGUGUCCCCCCUCAAAAUGAAGGCAACCUCUUCCACUCUAAUGCUCUAAUUUAUAUUAUAUAUAAAAAAUAGAAAUAUAUAUUUAUAGAAAAAUAUAUGCUUAUAAUAUAUUAAAAUAUAUUAAUAUAAAAAUAUUACAGAUUUUAUAUCUCUAUAUAGAUUAUGUAUCUAUAAUAUUAUAUAUCCAGAUCUAGGUAUCUCAUAUAAUCUCUAAAUAUUGUAUAUGUGUAUUAAAUCACACCAAACACUCUGAUGACUUACUGUUUACCUCCUUUGGGCUGUAUCUGUUAUUCUGCUUUCCCCUCCUAGCUAAACCUCGGUCCUUUAUUCCCCUCAUAAAUUUUCUGUUUCAAUGACCGUCUCUUUACAUGUUCAAUAGGCUUAACUGAUAAUUGCCUCUUAAUGCUAGUAAUCCAUUAGCCAAGUGUUCAAAUUAAGAGGGAGGAAAAUAGUGGCAUCACCUGUGCCACGGCCAGCAGAGGACCACCCCUUCUGUUUAGAGAGAAGCUGAUGGUAGCACAUCUGCCACUGCAGUGGCUUUGACUUGAAUGACUUCUCCACGCCGAAUGCAAGAGGGAUUAAUCAAUUCUUUACUGUAAUUCAUAAAAGAUGAGUGCCACCAUUAAGUCUGGGGUUUGUAUACUUCGCUUCUGGCACUUCUGCCUUUGGAGUUUUCUCCAUUUCUGGGGUGUUUCGGGGAUCCCAGCUGAAAUUGGAUGCAUAGAAGUUAGCAGAUAUAAAAUGUUGAUGAAAUCCUUUUCGCUGCCUAGGAUUGAGCGUAUCCCAAAGAGCAUGGAAGACUGGAUGUGUCAAAAAUGGAGGCAUAAGCAUAGGGCAAGGAACCCAAUCUCCUUGAGGAUACCCACGGGCUGAAAUGCCCCAUUGCUGGAUUUACUUUACAGCUCCAAAUUCAGCUACUAAGUCCAUCCCAUACCUCUGAGGAGGAUGAGCUGAUUGAGCAUAGGCUUAAGUGAUAAUAUUUUUGCCCUGCAACGCUGUCGGUAUCAAGUGCUAAAAUUUCCUGAUUUUGAAGAGCUGAGUUUUAGGACAAAAAUCCUGCUUAUGUGGAAGACAAUGGCAAAACUCCCACAAACCCCCAGUGAUGCCUCCCCAGAGUUUUUUCUUUCUCCAAGGUGAUGAGCAGUCACAACCCAGGAGAAAAUUAACAUGAGCUGGGCAACUUUGACAUGUUCAGAAAUGAAGUUCGAGGUGUCCUGAACAAGAAACCCAAUAAAACAGCACCUAAAGGCAGAGAGUACUUUUCACCCUUCAUAUUUUUUUUUAAAUAGCUGGUUCUGGCCUGACGGACGCAUUCCUGGGAAAUCCUGGGAUCCUGCCUCUGCCUAGCUGAAAGGCAAUUUCUAUUUAUAUUUUGUAAGAGGAGAAUGAAUCAGAGAGAUGCUGUCUGUUUGGUUUCUUAGGCUGAUCUUCAGCAUUUCAAGGGUCAUGAAACAUUGCAACAUUACAGCCCAAGAAAUUGUUCGAUUGCAGCUAAAUGCAUCACACUAGCUUAGUCUGGGCAUGUAGCUCGGACAGCCGCUCCAUUUGUACCACAUCAUUGUGAGUGAGUAAAUUGGAGGCGUCUUUUUGCUUUGCAAAGCCUGUGUCAUCGCUUUCGGUCCCCCCCCCACCGUGAUGAGUAGCUGCAAACUCAACUUCUUCACGCAGAUCUCCUGAACUUGGAGAGGACGAUGCUGCAGAGUCAAACUGCGAAUGUGGUUUGAGUUACUGUUUGAGACAGCAGGACGGCUCUCAACCUGCCCAGCACUAGCAAAAAAGUCUGUAUACGUUUUCACUCUGCUGGGAGACAGGUCCUGGUUUGCAAGAUAUUUUCCAGACUCGGUUAAACUGCUUUCCAAAUGCACAGUGUGUUUCCGCAAGACAAGCAGCCUUCUCUGUAACAGGCUGGACCAAAUAGCUGAUGAUCUGAAAUCAAUUCGCCACGGAUGGUUUUAAGGCUGGCGUUCAGGUCAUUUCCAGGCAGCUGCACAUUGUUGUAAUUUGCUAACGGUGUCACAAACGCUACUUUUUCCUUUCCUUGUAACAGCUCCUCUGAAUUACAAUAACUCCUUUAAUUUCUGAACAAGUCCUUGCCACCUCAAAGAGCAGCAAGAGCACCUCCCCUUCGCAAUUUCCCUUUCCCUCUUAACCUUGACCUGUAAAAUGCUGAAAGCUGUUACUGAGAACUACCUUGAUCAGAAAUGACGUUAUAAAAACUUGCUCAACCAGAUGCAGCAAAAAUCCAGCUGUGACAAAGAUUCCCUGAGCCAACAAUUUUGAGUUACGGAGCUACCCUGCCUUGGAAUAUGGAGUCGGCCGCUGCAAGGCCAUUAGUGCUUAUUCUUCCCAAAAUUUACUACUGAAAAUGACUCUGCCUCCUCCCUUCCUCUCGCUUGAUGGAUGGCUACAGAGUGACCCUCCAGGAUUUAUAUCUCCAGUGGCGGAGAAGGACUCCUCUCCUAUCUUAAUCCCCUCAAGGCCAUAGUAAAAUAAAGCCGUUGUCUUUAAAUCUAGAUCUGUUACAACCUCUGCCUCAAAGCAGCGAUAUUCUCCACCUCGCUCGAGUUCAGCUGUAGUUGCGUUCACAGCUCUAUCCCAGAAAGUGCAGGAAUGAACUUUCAAAGACGCUUCAUUUUUCACUAGGGAUUUUAGAAACUUGUUACGUUGCCUCAUGGUACGCUAGCUAGACAUAUAUUUAUCUUCUUUAGUUUUCGUUUGCCUUCUUUAUUUUUCUUUCAUUUUUAAUAUUUUCUUAUGCAUCUAAUACAAAGGCCAUUCACUUCCCAAUCAGACAGAGGGGAAAGUUUCUCCUUCCCCUCUUUAAUUUAGACCUAUAUCACCAAUUCCUUUUGUGGUUUGCUGUUUGGGCAAAAAAAAGUGGAAAAAAAAAAAAAAGGAAAUUGGUGAGCAGAACACCUGUCCUGGAUUUUUUUGUUUGCUGUUUGGAUUCUUAAUAAUUUUAACUCUCUUUGGCUGUUAAAUUUUAGAAAAAAAUCCCAAAUAAUUAAAAAAUUAUCAUUCAACGUGAGAGUUAAUGGAGUAAAUGUUCUUCUCUUCCACUGGUAUGAAAUAUAAAAUCGAUGCGAAUGAAAAAUUCCUAUACCCAGAUCCUAAAAUGUUGAUGUUUGGCAGAUAAAUAGUUUAUCUGCCUGACAGAUAGUUUUUCCUGGCUGCAUGUGGGAGUUUCCACUUGACGGGGUGGCAGCUGGUAGCUCCUUCCAUUUGUCAGGCGUGACCGAGGAAGACUGUGGUCCAGCGAUGAAGAAGCUGUGGGAUGGAGGAACCCUCCUAGGAGGCAUCGUUGCCACCAUCGCUCUUCCCAGCCAAGACCCGGAGCCUUGGUCUUGCCCUGCCCCAUGGGACCCACAGAGAUCCCAUCUCACCUGCUCGAAUGGAGGAUGUUGGAGAGGUUUGUAAAUGCUGUGGCCGGGCCCAUCUGAGCAAACAUCACCCUGGGUCUUGCUUGGGCACCAGGCUGGGAGAAGAUAUCUCCUGUGCUCCUCCCAGGCUUGCAAGGCUGGGACAGGGAGGCUGUGACUCCACUCUGACCACGGGAGACGUGUUAAUAUUAGAAGAUGGGCUUAAGCAUGGGGAAAAUGAACUUGAACGUGAGUUUGGCGUGUUUUCUUUGGAGCCCUGCCCUAGCACUGCCCCUGCGUGGUGUGGAGCUUGCAGGGCUGCCGGACGUGAAGGCAUGAGUGGCUGUUUCCUAGCCCAGGCUCCCUCCUGGUCAGAGAGUUUAUUUCUGGGUUGUUUCAGCCAGUCACCUCCGAGAGGUGUUUCCUCCCCUCUUUCCCUUGCGAGGAGCAAAAGGGGAGUGAGGAGAGGCAGCGGCUCCAGAGGUGGGCUUCAGAAAUAGCCAGAAGCCCGCUUGGGAGGUGGGAAAUCAGGGCGCUGACUCUGAUCACCGAAUGUAGAGUCGCUGCCAAUUUACAACUUUUUCCCUUAAAUGUAGGAGCUGAAGAUUUAAUGGAAAGAGAGGUCAGGCUUUGACCUGACCACUGAGCAGGGUGACAGAGAUGGCUCCUUCAUGUCCUCUCGAGGGGUUUGUUAGUCUAAAGUUUAGUCCCAACGUCAGAUGAUGCAUUUUCCAGGGAAGCUAAUGGAUUCGCUUGCACGGCGAUGGAGUGGUUGGCGGGGGUGGGAGGGUGACUUUCGUGAGAGACAAAUGACUUCCUCUCAACAAGCAGCUCUGUUUUAACUAGAAAAUGAUGGAUGACUCUCAAGUAAAGACUUGCGCAGGCAAACUAACAUGCAAACUUCACGCUGUCAGAGAUCCAAAACACAACAAAAAUCCAAACUACCAAUGAAAAACCGAAACCCCACGGUGGUGGUCAGGGAUGUGAAUUGGUCUAUAGAGGGAGACUUUGGGUCAAGUCUCCUACGUCACCCACCACGCAAGAGCACAUGGACAGACGCCAAAGGGAGAAGCUUGAGCUUCGGAGGCCUUCAUAGAAGCGGGGUUAUGGGUUCAUCUCCAAAAGAUCCCCGCUCAAGUUAAACCAAAGCCUUCCUGUGGCAUGGGGAACAACAGCCUUAUCCUUCCGCCCCUGCCGUUGUCCCUUCCAGACUAUUGUUUUGAUUUUACUUGGCAUCCUCCAGCGUAGCAGCAAAACUUGGCCACCAUGUUUCACCAAAUGUUUCCCUCACAUUUUUCUUCUGUGCUUACCUUUACAAAAGAAAAAGCUUUUUUUUUUUUUUAAAAAAAUAUGUAUAUAUAAAUACUUGGCAAGUACUGGGCACAGUGGCUGCAUCCAAGUUCCUGUUGUUAGUUCAGGGCACUUCUGUAUCUCGAUGAUGCAUCUGGGAGCCCAAAUCCAGCCUUUGGACUCCACUGCGCUGGGCGCGGUACGGCUGCGGACAGAAAAGUUGGAGCGAGGAGCUGCAAUUAAGGACUGGAAGUUCCCCGUGCAGGGAUGUGAAGAUGAAAGGCAACUGUAGCCUCCUGUCAAUGUAAGAUCCUAACUGGGAAUGGCCUUGAGAGCUGCUGGAGUAGGACCUCGGGAGAAACCAUCUCAGGGAGGGGAAGAGUUAGGGAUGAUGAGCUGGAGGGAAGGCAGGUCCUUGCCACCAGGACUGGCUGGAGAAACAGCAUGGAAGCAAGGGGUUUGCUUGAUCCUAGACAAUUUUGGUGCUUGGAUAAAGCUCCAGCUGGAAAGACCAUCUGUGUCAAAAGGCAAAAUCUUAACUUGGGACCUUGUGCAAUGCCCCAGAGAGCGACGAGAGCAGCGGGAGGCUGUGCCCAAAGGGGACAAGCACGCUGCCUUGCCGUGGGCACCGAGCAUCCUGACAAGGGCAAUCACUGCACGUGGUUCCCGCAGUCCGUUCCUCUGCUUUCCCCUCCACAGCCCCAGAUAAAGCCCGGGAUGUUUAUAGACCUUAAUACAAUAGUUCCCACAACGGCCAGGCAAUAUGUGAAGACGUAAGCCGCCUGGCUGGCUCUUCUUGGACAUUGGAAAGCUUCCAUAGCUCAGGCCCCGUUGUCAGCUCUCCUUAUCGUUUCACUGCUGAGAUCCAGGGAUCUGAUCUAUUUUUACUGAUGGGUUUUUUGUACCUGUGGCAGGGCGGGGGAGAUAAAUAAGUGCGCUGCCUUCUGUGACUGAGUUUAGGGUCAUUUUGUUGUUUAAUCCUGGAAUGCCUCUUGCCUGCCUGCUUCAAGUGUAGCUAUGCCCGUUCAUUUCCAGAAUUAAUUGCCCAUCUUCUUGAUUGCAAGCAGGAUGGCUGAGAUUGUAGGUUAUUUUCUUACGCAACUGUUAAGUGUGGUCUUUGCAAGGGAAAGGCCAAUGGCAGUGCUGAAGAUGUAGGCUUGAUUUAUAGAUAUUAAACAUU